rnacentral:tRNA from 1 species
GGCCCAGUGGCGUAAUGGUAACGCGUCUGAUUCCAGUGAUAACAAAUUGGAGCCUCCAGAAGAUUAUCCGUUCAAUUCGGGUCUGGGUCA